rnacentral:rRNA from 1 species
UUCCAGACUCCUACGGGAGGCAGCAGUGGGGAAUAUUGCACAAUGGGGGAAACCCUGAUGCAGCAACGCCGCGUGAGUGAAGAAGUAUUUCGAUAUGUAAAGCUCUAUCAGCAGGGAAGAAGAUGACGGUACCUGAGUAGGAAGCCCCGGCUAACUACGUGCCAGCAGCCGCGGUAAUACGUAGGGGGCAAGCGUUAUCCGGAUUUACUGGGUGUAAAGGGAGCGUAGACGGCGUGGCAAGUCUGAAGUGAAAGCCCGGGGCUCAACCGCGGGACUGCUUUGGAAACUGUUAAGCUGGAGUGCAGGAGAGGUAAGUGGAAUUCCUAGUGUAGCGGUGAAAUGCGUAGAUAUUAGGAGGAACACCAGUGGCGAAGGCGGCUUACUGGACUGUAACUGACGUUGAGGCUCGAAAGCGUGGGGAGCAAACAGGAUUAGAUACCCGAGUA